rnacentral:rRNA from 1 species
GACGAACGCUGGCGGCGCGCCUAACACAUGCAAGUCGAACGAGCGAGAGAGAGCUUGCUUUCUCGAGCGAGUGGCGAACGGGUGAGUAACGCGUGAGGAACCUGCCUCAAAGAGGGGGACAACAGUUGGAAACGACUGCUAAUACCGCAUAAGCCCACGACCCGGCAUCGGGUUGAGGGAAAAGGAGCAAUCCGCUUUGAGAUGGCCUCGCGUCCGAUUAGCUAGUUGGUGAGGUAACGGCCCACCAAGGCGAAGAUGUGUAGCCGACCUGAGAGGGUGAACGGCCACAAUGGAACUGAGACACGGUCCAU